rnacentral:sRNA from 1 species
UUAAUUAAACUUCGAUCAGAGUCUUUUAAUCAUAUCGAUUCACCUAAUGAUCUAUCAUCAAGCCUACAUUGUCUUAUCUAUUCCAAAAAAUAAGUGAGUUGCUUUGUCUUGCCUGAAUUCUGAUGCAUAGGGCCUUGCCUGUAGGAUUUCUCUGAGAUCACUAGAGCAGCAGAACAGGGUACUUAGCCUACUUCAGCUCACUACUUUCAUUGUUAAUUACAGGAAAGUCCUUUGUUACGAUCUGUUAUGGAAUUUUGUCUGGCAUCAACCCUGAUCCCCAUUUUAGCAACUAUCUUCCUUAUAAUUAAAACAACAACAACAACAAAAAUGAGACUACUCUGUGUCUUCUGCAAUUUAUUUUAAUUCCAGUGGAACUUCAGAUUUAUGCAUUUAUUCACUUGUUUGUUGGCUUGUUUGUUUAUUUGACAAUAUUUUUACCUGAAAAAUUAUCUUCUUUUAAAUGACUUGAUUGACUUUGCAAUUUCCUUAUCAAUUUUGAAUUUUUUAAAUUAUUUUUUAUUAUUGACUGGCUAUCUUCUGAAGUCUGAAGAUAGUUCUUCUAGACCAAACUUUAAAAAAGGUAAAAAAGUAAGAGUUAACUUUGGGGCUGAGAUUGAAAUAUGCUUCUAACACUUACAGGCAGCAAGACACUUGUAAGUUAAACAAGAUCUAAGUGCUUCUAUUCUGUUCCCUUGUUGUAAAAUGGGGAAAAUAAUAGCACUUUACCCACAGAAUUGUGGUAAAAUUUAAAGUUGAUUCUUGUAAAGUGCUCAAAAUAAUGCCUCGAAUAUAGUAAACAUUCAAAACUAUUAGAUAAUUUUUUUUAGUAACAACAUUAGGUACUAAACUCAUGUUGUUUCUCUGUAAACAACUUAAAAUCAAUUUUAUUGGUAUUAUCAUUUUUAUACCUGUUAGCUCAUUUGAAGUUAUAAAUCAAUCAGUAAGAUGAUAUACAUCUGGGCCACUGGUAUAUAUUUAACUUUUAUCAUGCAUAAAAUUCUCAACUUGUUCUACAGUUUCUGGUGCAAUAAGGCAUUUUAGGUCUCUGGUUGGAAGAGAGACACUGAACUUUGUGGUGAAGAACCUAGGUUCCAUGUGAGACUGAUGGGCUCUACCACCUGCUAGAGGCUUGCUCUUAGACAAGUGCAUUACUAUUCAGACUGAAUUAUGGGCAUAGUACCCUCUUUGGGUUGUGGCACUUGAAGCCUUUUUAAUCUCAAAUGUUUUAUUACAUUUACAGACUCAGGGGCAAGAGGUAAGAAUUCCAUUUAUUCUCCUUUAGAUCAUUCUUUGUUUUUCUGAGGACAAGGAAGAAAAUCUUCACAUCCUUGAGCUCUAGAUAUUGAUGUGGUUUAUGUGUCUGUGUAAUUUAAUGCUUGCUGGUCUAUUUGGAGGCUGCUCUCCACGUUCUCACUUUUCCCUGCAGGAAAAGUAUUAGAUCAGUUAUCUCCAGUAGGACUCCAACAGGGUUCAAGGUCUGGUUGCAAACAUCUUCUCUCUAGCCCAGGUUAUAGCUAAGAUUUAAGAGCAAGGUGGCCAUAUUCUAGUUGCUACAAUGCAAGAGAAUCUAUUUGUGCAGAAGAAAACAAUACUCAUAAGGCACAAAGAAACCUAUUACAUUAUAGUCAUUGGAUAUAGUAGAACGAGACUUUUAUAAAUAUUUAUUUCUGCAAAUCCUACAGAACUAAGCUUUUAAAAGC